rnacentral:lncRNA from 1 species
UGACGCCACUUUCCAUUCUAUUAGAAUACUGGGUGACCGGGCGAAAUAGGCCUUUUCAUAGGCUGCCCAUCUCUGCGGAGGGGUUAGCCGCAUUGCAGAGAGGGGAUCGAUGGCUGGGCCCAAAUCCUAUGAUAAAUAUUUUUCAAGCAGUGGGACUCGAGAUACGGACCCGGGUCUUCCCGAAUGGAAAGCCGAAGCGUUUCUAUGCUGCUAAUACGACCGAACUGAAAAUUAGUAAUUCGUUUCUAGUAAACUUGCUUAAAAACUAUUCACUCCCUAUUCCCGUUUAUCAUCCCCAAAUUCACACUAAAUAUAACCACGAAACUUGGUAUGGAAACUAUAGGUAAUGUCAAUAUUUUAUAAGAAUAAAUUGUAAUUUUUUUUGUCAACAAAUGACGCCACUUUCCACUCAGAUAGAGUACUAAGUGGCGGGGCGAAACAAGCCCUUCCACAGGCU